GCCCAAGAGAUCGGGAUAACACCUGGAAACAGAUGCUAAUACCGGAUAACAACAGAUGAUGCCUAUCAACUGUUUAAAAGAUGGUUCUGCUAUCACUCUUGGAUGGACCUGCGGUGCAUUAGCUAGUUGGUAGGGUAACGGCCUAAAACCAAGGCGAUGAUGCAUAGCCGAGUUGAGAGACUGAUCGGCCUACAUUGGGACUGAGACGACGGCCCAAACUCCUACGGGAGGCAGCAGCG
rnacentral:rRNA from 1 species